rnacentral:rRNA from 1 species
AGUCGAACGUGAAAGCACUUCGGUGUGAGUAGAGUGGCGGACGGGUGAGUAACGCGUGGGAAUCUACCCAGUAGUGGGGGACAACUACCGGAAACGGUAGCUAAUACCGCAUACGCCCUAUGGGGGAAAGGCUUCGGCCGCUAUUGGAUGAGCCCGCGUCAGAUUAGCUAGUUGGUAGGGUAAAGGCCUACCAAGGCAACGAUCUGUAGCUGGUCUGAGAGGACGAACAGCCACACUGGGACUGAGACACGGCCCAGACUCCUACGGGAGGCAGCAGUGGGGAAUAUUGGACAAUGGGCGAAAGCCUGAUCCAGCAAUGCCGCGUGUGUGAAGAAGGCCUGCGGGUUGUAAAGCACUUUCAGUUGGGAAGAUGAUGACGUUACCAACAGAAGAAGCACCGGCUAAAUCCGUGCCAGCAGCCGCGGUAAUACGGAUGGUGCGAGCGUUAAUCGGAAUUACUGGGCGUAAAGCGCGCGUAGGCGGCUAAGUCAGUCAGAAGUGAAAGCCCCGGGCUCAACCUGGGAAUUGCUUUUGAUACUGCUUAGCUAGAGUUUGGUAGAGGAUAGUGGAAUUCCAGGUGUAGCGGUGAAAUGCGUAGAUAUCUGGAGGAACAUCAGUGGCGAAGGCGACUGUCUGGACCAAAACUGACGCUGAGGUGCGAAAGCGUGGGUAGCAAACAGGAUUAGAUACCCUGGUAGUCCACGCCGUAAACGAUGUCAACUAGCCGUCGGGUCUAUUUACAGACUUGGUGGCGAAGCUAACGCGAUAAGUUGACCGCCUGGGGAGUACGGCCGCAAGGUUAAAACUCAAAGGAAUUGACGGGGGCCCGCACAAGCGG